GAUGAACGCUGGCGGCGUGCCUAAUACAUGCAAGUCGAGCGAACGGACGAGAAGCUUGCUUUUCUGAUGUUAGCGGCGGACGGGUGAGUAACACGUGGAUAACCUACCUAUAAGACUGGGAUAACCUCGGGUAACCGGAGCUAAUACCGGAUAAUAUUUUGAACCGCAUGGUUCAAAAGUGAAAGACGGUCUUGCUGUCACUUAUAGAUGGAUCCGCGUUGCAUUAGCUAGUUGGUAAGGUAACGGCUUACCAAGGCAACGAUGCAUAGCCGACCUGAGAGGGUGAUCGGCCACACUGGAACUGAGACACGGUCCAGACUCCUACGGGAGGCAGCAGUAGGGAAUCUUCCGCAAUGGGCGAAAGCCUGACGGAGCAACGCCGCGUGAGUGAUGAAGGUCUUCGGAUCGUAAAACUCUGUUAUUAGGGAAGAACAUAUGUGUAAGUAACUGUGCACAUCUUGACGGUACCUAAUCAGAAAGCCACGGCUAACUACGUG
rnacentral:rRNA from 1 species